GAAGCCCCGCCCCGCAGGCGUCGGGCUAAUAUCAGAAGGCGCGCGCUGCGUCAGGAUGCCGGAGCUCGCCCCGUUGGAUGGAGGGUAGAUGGAGAAUCCCGGCGCUGAGACCCAGCGCACCAUGUGAAUAGUCCUUACCUUCUGGACAAGCUCCGUGAAGACCUGGGCAAGCACAGAGAGCAGCUUCGCAGUACUACGACUUUCAACUAGUGCCAUCUGUGAGUCUCUCUGCUCAACCUCCAUCCCUGGAAGAAUGAACAAGGACUCUAGGCCCUGCAAAUGAACUGACAUCUGGGAUAAGCAACUCAGUGCGGAAGAGCAAACUUCAAAAUCUUUCCUGCAACAGAAAUGCCACAAUGUUGAAAAGAAUGCACCACAGUUCCCACAAACACACACCCAUCCCUCCAACCACUACAAUGUAUGCAAGGUAGAACACACCCUAACUGGAGGUUACAGCUGAACACAUGCCACAAAGUGCCGUGCAGGUCCACUGAGUAACACAGGACUGAAGCACAAUUCUUUUCAUAAUUUUAUUCCAUUACUGAACACCUAGGUUUAGUAAUCAAAUUAAUAAACACCUAGGUUUAAUAAUGGAACAAAAUACUAAACACCUAGGUUUAGUAAUGGAAUUAAUUACUGAAUAAAUUACUAAACUUAUUCCAUUAAGACUAAUGAUAUUCCAUUAUCAUUAGUCUUUGGUGUGACAGGCUUUGAUUUUGGACCACCACAAAUAGCAGGAUGUGAUUUGCUCUCCCUGAGGAUUAUUUAGGGCUUCGCCUGGCAUCUUUGCCAAGGCUGUUUCCACUAAAGUCUCAGAACCUGCAGAUGACACUCUCUAUCCCCUCCCCACUCCAUACCCUAAACCGACUGAGUUCCCUAGACCCCAGGGCUGUCUAACAGCUGCUGCUUUCUGUUAACACCCUUCCCUUCCCAUCCCCAAUUUAGAUAAGCAUAGUAAGAACCUAAGUACACAGAGAAAAAACAGACACACGUACCAAGAAUGAAAGAGAGUCUCACAAGACUGCUGCCUAAUUUUGUCAACAUCAGCUUUCACUGUUGUAAUGGUUUUUAGCAUCUCUGUUAAUCUCAUAGUUGACUGUUGCCAAAGCUGAUCCUGUUUCCGCAUCCGGCAACCAAAGGGCAGCUGAAUUCCAGGAACUGGAGAUGGGUAGCUCAGAUUGGAGGGAAUUAGGUCUUGUACUACUCCACAAAGUUGUCCGCUGCUAAGUUCUGGUCCUUUCAGGCAGGGGGCAGGAGGCUGACCCAAUGCCUGGGCAUCGCCAUGGCCUGGAGCUGGCCCCACACUGGGGCAGCACUGGAGGAGCCAGGAGAGCUGGUCGAGCAGGAUCUGGCACUGCAUGGCCAGGUGCUGCAGGCGCUCAGUCCACUGCUGCACACCGUCCUGAGGAGGAAAGGCCACGGGGUAGGCCAGGGGCCCUGUCAGCCUGCUAUUAAUCUCUUGCACACAGCUGAGGAGGUUCCUGUACAGAGAAACCCAUGGGAAAAACACAAUGAACGGCACCUUAAACCAUGUUACUAUAUUGUUUUAAAAGAAAUUUGUGUUUCUGAACAAGCCUGGGCUUUUCCAUAUAGUCAAGAAGAAUCUCCCAGAGAGGUAAGAAGUCUGUUAAAAUGCCUCCCAAAGUACUUAAACCCAUCCCUCAGUCUUUCAGGAAAAGCAUCACAACACAGUCACACCACUACAGAGACUUCAACUAGGAUUAUCUAGUAAAUGUACUGUACUUUGCUACAUAAACCCUAAUGAAUGGAGCAGGAAAUACCUGAAGCUAGAGCGAACAGUCUGGAAGUACUAUCUCUCAGCUAUAAAUCCAUUGAAGAGAUGACGACAACCUUCCUAACUGUCCUCAUCUCUUAAUUAUCUGUUUCCAUUGAGGAGCCUCCAUGUAUGACUCAGCAGAUCCCAAAAGCUUAAGUAACAGAAGCAGACUCAAAUCUCAUCUGUGCCCGAGACUGGGACACCCUAAUACCGUGAACACGACCAUAUCUAGCAGCCCACAUGGACUUUCAGCAACAUAUAUCCUCAUUCCAGACACAGCACAACUCAUCAGCUGAUACCUGAGGAUGAUCCACUGCUCACUAAGCGUGGUCAGGGAGCGCCGCUGUCGGACAAGCAUCUUCAUCAAAUGUGCUGAGAAUCCUCUGCACCGCUCUGCGUUGCCCAUGCCCAUCUCCUGGCAGAAGGAAAACCAUGCUGAAGGGGCUGCUGGCAAACCCCACCCACAGUUGUGCCUCUAGAAAGUCGUUUCUGGACUCUUUCAGGGGAGGAGUCCCUUGCUAAUAUUUCUGUUCGGCAAAGACCAGAGCCCACUCUAUCCCAAAGACUGGACUGUGUGUCAGUGAACAAGUAAAACAAGCCUACAAAAGAAACCAUGGGCCAGGCACAGUGGCUCACGCCUGUAAUCCCAGCACUU